CAGGGCCGGGCAGGGCAGGGCCGCGGUGGGCCGCGGCCCUGGGGAUACCAAGACAAGAAAAAAGAAGGCUGACUGACUCAAGGAAUUCAGUCUACUGGGGAGACCUACUAAGUGAACAGAAAAUUAAAAGGACCGGAGGUGGACCAAGACAGCGCCCUCUCGCCCACAGGCCUGCUGGUCACUGCGCAUUCCCUCAACAUCCCACCCCGGACUCCGGCUUCGAAUGCAGGUCCAGUGCUCGCCUUCUGACUCCAUCCACGGCUUCCUAACCACCCCAGGCCCUCUGGCUGCAGGGGCAGGGGAGGUGGAAUCAACGUUGGCCAGGUGGCUCGGCUCGGCGCCCCACCUAAGAGGUUAGGUCCUCAGAUUGCAGCACUGGUGACUCAGGCAAGGGGGCACAGAGCAAGGGGACGCUCUCGGCAGGGGCAGACCAGCGGCUUUGCCUCUUUGCAGAGCGGAACGGCUCCAAGAGGAGGUCCUGCCAGGACCACAGCCUGGGUCAGAGCCCACUGAUCCGCCUGGCCAAAGCCAGGACAACUCUAUCCUGUCACCAGCUGGCUUCCCUGGGCUCUGGGCCACUGGUCCCAGCUCGCACCCAGCCAUGCCAGGGAGCCAAGCAGUGCUGGCAGGGAGCAGUCCUAUGACUCCCAGGCCUUGGAAGGCUGAGGUGGAACUAGGACCCUGCAGAAUUUAUGUCUCCAUCCUUAAGUGGGGAGGGCAGCCCAAGCUUUUCCUGGUUCUAAGGAAUUCCUUCCUUCCCUCUAAACCCUUCCACCUCUGACCCUGGCUCCCACGCUGCAAAGACAGGGGAGGCUCACCAUGCAGCGUCUGCAGCCUCCUGCCCUCCCAACCCCAUCACACACCAUUUUGACCCAAACUCAACUGUGCCUUUGACACCAAUCCAAGCUCUGCCUCUUGAGCUCCAUCCCCAGGCUUCCCUCCACUCUGUUUGCCUUACAAACCUGAAGAGCUUUAAAAACUUCAACUAACACCUCCUCUGGGAAGCCUUCCUGACUACCCUACCACCACCACCAAACCAGAGUUCUGCAGUUCACCUCCGUCCUCCUGGCUCCCAGGUCUUGCACAGGCUUGAGUCACACACUCACUAUAAGGCAAUUAAUCUGUCCACCAUGUUGAUCCUCCUCUGGGCUCGGGGCACCUUCAAGGUAAGGCUUGUUUCUAUCAUUACUGUUUCCUCAUGCCUUGUCCAUAGUAGGGCAUCAACUUACUUUUGUAAAACUGAAUGUACUCCCUGUCCCGGGGUUCCCAACUCAUCCCAGAGAGUUGCAGCCUCGAAUACCACAAGACCUAGUUCCGAGGCCGAUUGCCCAAGUCCACGAUGUCUACAAGGGUCAGACAUCCAGGCAUGGUCUGAGGAUCCAGAGAGUUGUGGGAUAGAUUCACAUGACUUAGACUUUGUAGAACUGGACCACCUUGGAGUUCAUCUAGGAUGAGGAUACUGAGGUCUGGAAAAGCAGAACGACCUUCCUAAGAUGGUCUGUAAGACCGAGAUACACUGCAGGGCGACGGGACGGACACUGGACCAGGCGUCCUAGGCCUCUGGCUCUGGCCCUAGUGAGGCACAUGCCUCUGCCCCUGAGAUGCAGAACACGCCAGACAGACACGUCCUCCCCGCCUCCUGCCCGGGCAAGGAGAGGGACACCAGCACUGUGUCCUGGGCUCUGGGGCACUGGCUUUACAUUUAUCAUUUUAUUUACCCUUCCCAACAAGCCUGUGUCAUUUUACAGAUAAGAAAACCAAAGCUUGGAGAAGUCAAAGAAUUUUCCCUGUUCACCCAGUUAAUGGUAGUGUUGGGUUUCAAGCCAGUUUUUUCUGGCUCCAGAACCAAGUCCUUUCCAUCCCACCCCCAGGUUCCUGAUCUUGGUGGUCCAGGGUCCUCCGAAUCCAGCUCUCUUUGGAUCUCAAAGUGGCAGAUGUCAGGUGCCCCAGUUACUGAAUCAGGUGCCAGUGUCAAGGAGAGGAGGGGGAUCCUGAGGGGCACAUGGCAGAAGGCAUCCACCCCAGGAGAGGGACGGGAUGCAAGCAGAGGGGGCAGGAGGCUGCCGUUCUCCAAAACCCGGAUCUCAAAGCAGAACAAAGAGAGGUGGCUGUUUAACAAAGCUGUCUUGUUCCGAACACUACUGUUGGGGAGGAAAGCAUAAGAGAAAGAGGCACAGGAGGAAGGAGCGCCUCCACCGAGGGUCCGAGGGAGUCGAUGGGAGGCCUGAAGGCCAGAGCCCCGGAGGCGAGGGUCCUUCUGCCUGCUGACUUACUCCGUGCAUCUGCAGCGGUUACACUGCAUGCUGCAGGGUUGCUUGAAGUAGACACAGCCCUGCUCAGGGGAUGCCCCCACCCACUCAGGGGGAGCAGGGAACCCCUCACUCACGGACCUCUGGUCUCUUCACAGCCAACCCUGCAAACAGCAAGGGAUGAACAUUUGCUUCCAGCUGUGCCCAUAAAAUGGCCUCAGCCCAGCUCCUGUCCUGGUCCCAGCAGAUGGUCAGAGGCUUCCGCAGCCACCGGAGGCCUGCUGCCUGGCCCUGACGCAUACCCUGCCCGACCCCCAGCAGCCUGGUGGGCCCGCUGCUGGGCUUCACCCCAUUGCAGUGAAUACAGGGUUGUCACAGUGCCUCAGCAAGGAAGGACAG